rnacentral:rRNA from 1 species
GGUUAAGCGACUAAGCGUACACGGUGGAUGCCCUGGCAGUCAGAGGCGAUGAAGGACGUGCUAAUCUGCGAUAAGCGUCGGUAAGGUGAUAUGAACCGUUAUAACCGGCGAUUUCCGAAUGGGGAAACCCAGUGUGAUUCGUCACACUAUCAUUAACUGAAUCCAUAGGUUAAUGAGGCGAACCGGGGGAACUGAAACAUCUAAGUACCCCGAGGAAAAGAAAUCAACCGAGAUUCCCCCAGUAGCGGCGAGCGAACGGGGAGCAGCCCAGAGCCUGAAUCAGUGUGUGUGUUAGUGGAAGCGUCUGGAAAGGCGCGCGAUACAGGGUGACAGCCCCGUACACAAAAAUGCACAUGCUGUGAGCUCGAUGAGUAGGGCGGGACACGUGGUAUCCUGUCUGAAUAUGGGGGGACCAUCCUCCAAGGCUAAAUACUCCUGACUGACCGAUAGUGAACCAGUACCGUGAGGGAAAGGCGAAAAGAACCCCGGCGAGGGGAGUGAAAAAGAACCUGAAACCGUGUACGUACAAGCAGUGGGAGCACGCUUAGGCGUGUGACUGCGUACCUUUUGUAUAAUGGGUCAGCGACUUAUAUUCUGUAGCAAGGUUAACCGAAUAGGGGAGCCGAAGGGAAACCGAGUCUUAACUGGGCGUUAAGUUGCAGGGUAUAGACCCGAAACCCGGUGAUCUAGCCAUGGGCAGGUUGAAGGUUGGGUAACACUAACUGGAGGACCGAACCGACUAAUGUUGAAAAAUUAGCGGAUGACUUGUGGCUGGGGGUGAAAGGCCAAUCAAACCGGGAGAUAGCUGGUUCUCCCCGAAAGCUAUUUAGGUAGCGCCUCGUGAACUCAUCUCCGGGGGUAGAGCACUGUUUCGGCAAGGGGGUCAUCCCGACUUACCAACCCGAUGCAAACUGCGAAUACCGGAGAAUGUUAUCACGGGAGACACACGGCGGGUGCUAACGUCCGUCGUGAAGAGGGAAACAACCCAGACCGCCAGCUAAGGUCCCAAAGUCAUGGUUAAGUGGGAAACGAUGUGGGAAGGCCCAGACAGCCAGGAUGUUGGCUUAGAAGCAGCCAUCAUUUAAAGAAAGCGUAAUAGCUCACUGGUCGAGUCGGCCUGCGCGGAAGAUGUAACGGGGCUAAACCAUGCACCGAAGCUGCGGCAGCGACACUAUGUGUUGUUGGGUAGGGGAGCGUUCUGUAAGCCUGUGAAGGUGUACUGUGAGGUAUGCUGGAGGUAUCAGAAGUGCGAAUGCUGACAUAAGUAACGAUAAAGCGGGUGAAAAGCCCGCUCGCCGGAAGACCAAGGGUUCCUGUCCAACGUUAAUCGGGGCAGGGUGAGUCGACCCCUAAGGCGAGGCCGAAAGGCGUAGUCGAUGGGAAACAGGUUAAUAUUCCUGUACUUGGUGUUACUGCGAAGGGGGGACGGAGAAGGCUAUGUUGGCCGGGCGACGGUUGUCCCGGUUUAAGCGUGUAGGCUGGUUUUCCAGGCAAAUCCGGAAAAUCAAGGCUGAGGCGUGAUGACGAGGCACUACGGUGCUGAAGCAACAAAUGCCCUGCUUCCAGGAAAAGCCUCUAAGCAUCAGGUAACAUCAAAUCGUACCCCAAACCGACACAGGUGGUCAGGUAGAGAAUACCAAGGCGCUUGAGAGAACUCGGGUGAAGGAACUAGGCAAAAUGGUGCCGUAACUUCGGGAGAAGGCACGCUGAUAUGUAGGUGAAGCGACUUGCUCGUGGAGCUGAAAUCAGUCGAAGAUACCAGCUGGCUGCAACUGUUUAUUAAAAACACAGCACUGUGCAAACACGAAAGUGGACGUAUACGGUGUGACGCCUGCCCGGUGCCGGAAGGUUAAUUGAUGGGGUUAGCGCAAGCGAAGCUCUUGAUCGAAGCCCCGGUAAACGGCGGCCGUAACUAUAACGGUCCUAAGGUAGCGAAAUUCCUUGUCGGGUAAGUUCCGACCUGCACGAAUGGCGUAAUGAUGGCCAGGCUGUCUCCACCCGAGACUCAGUGAAAUUGAACUCGCUGUGAAGAUGCAGUGUACCCGCGGCAAGACGGAAAGACCCCGUGAACCUUUACUAUAGCUUGACACUGAACAUUGAGCCUUGAUGUGUAGGAUAGGUGGGAGGCUUUGAAGUGUGGACGCCAGUCUGCAUGGAGCCGACCUUGAAAUACCACCCUUUAAUGUUUGAUGUUCUAACGUUGACCCGUAAUCCGGGUUGCGGACAGUGUCUGGUGGGUAGUUUGACUGGGGCGGUCUCCUCCUAAAGAGUAACGGAGGAGCACGAAGGUUGGCUAAUCCUGGUCGGACAUCAGGAGGUUAGUGCAAUGGCAUAAGCCAGCUUGACUGCGAGCGUGACGGCGCGAGCAGGUGCGAAAGCAGGUCAUAGUGAUCCGGUGGUUCUGAAUGGAAGGGCCAUCGCUCAACGGAUAAAAGGUACUCCGGGGAUAACAGGCUGAUACCGCCCAAGAGUUCAUAUCGACGGCGGUGUUUGGCACCUCGAUGUCGGCUCAUCACAUCCUGGGGCUGAAGUAGGUCCCAAGGGUAUGGCUGUUCGCCAUUUAAAGUGGUACGCGAGCUGGGUUUAGAACGUCGUGAGACAGUUCGGUCCCUAUCUGCCGUGGGCGCUGGAGAACUGAGGGGGGCUGCUCCUAGUACGAGAGGACCGGAGUGGACGCAUCACUGGUGUUCGGGUUGUCAUGCCAAUGGCACUGCCCGGUAGCUAAAUGCGGAAGAGAUAAGUGCUGAAAGCAUCUAAGCACGAAACUUGCCCCGAGAUGAGUUCUCCCUGACUCCUUGAGAGUCCUGAAGGAACGUUGAAGACGACGACGUUGAUAGGCCGGGUGUGUAAGCGCAGCGAUGCGUUGAGCUAACCGGUACUAAUGAACCGUGAGGCUUAACCUU